rnacentral:rRNA from 1 species
GCAUGAACGCUGGGCGGCAUCCCUAAGCUCGUACAGUCGAACGAAGGCUUCGAGCCUUAGAUGGCGCACGGGUGCGUACUGGGAAUCUGCCCUCAGGCUUCGGAACUAACUUCGAGGAAACUGAAGCUAAUACCGGAUGAUAUCGCAAGAUCACAGAUUUAUCGCCUGAGGAUGAGCCCGCGUAGGAUUAGCUAGUUGGUGUGGUAAAGGCGCACCAAGGCGACGAUCCUUAAGCUGGUCUGAGAGGAUGAUCAGCCACACUGGGACUGAGACACGGACCAGACUCCUACGGAGAGGCAGCAGUGGGGAAUAUUGGACAAUGGGCGAAAGCCUGCUCCAACAUGCCCGUGCUAUGAAG